rnacentral:rRNA from 1 species
GUGUCAGCCGCCGCGGUAAUACGUAGGGUGCGAGCGUUAAUCGGAAUUACUGGGCGUAAAGCGUGCGCAGGCGGUUUUGUAAGACAGCUGUGAAAUCCCCGGGCUCAACCUGGGAACUGCGGUUGUGACUGCAAGGCUAGAGUACGGCAGAGGGGGGUGGAAUUCCUGGUGUAGCAGUGAAAUGCGUAGAUAUCAGGAGGAACAUCGAUGGCGAAGGCAGCCCCCUGGGCCGAUACUGACGCUCAUGCACGAAAGCGUGGGGAGCAAACAGGAUUAGAUACCCUAGUAGUCC